CCUACGGGAGGCAGCAGUGGGGAAUAUUGGGCAAUGGGCGCAAGCCUGACCCAGCAACGCCGCGUGAAGGAAGAAGGCUUUCGGGUUGUAAACUUCUUUUGGCAGGGACGAAGCAAGUGACGGUACCUGACGAAUAAGCCACGGCUAACUACGUGACAGCAGCGGCGGUAAUACGGAGGUGGCAAGCGUUAUCCGGAUUUACUGGGUGUAAAGGGAGUGUAGGCGGGGGAGCAAGCCAGAUGUGAAAACCACGGGCUGAACCUGUGGCCUGCAUUUGAAACUGUUUUUAUUGAGUGCUGUAGAGGCAAUCGGAAUUCCGUGUGUAGCGGUGAAAUGCGUAGAUAUACGGAGGAACACCAGUGGCGAAGGCGGAUUGCUGGACAGUAACUGACGCUGAGGCGCGAAAGCGUGGGGAGCAAACAGGAUUAGAUACCCCAGUAGUC
rnacentral:rRNA from 1 species